rnacentral:lncRNA from 1 species
GUCAAUCUCUUAGGACACUCAUUAGAUCUAUGGCCAAUUUCAGAACACCUGUAAUAUUGGAUCACCCCCCGAACUGGAGCAUUAUGCCAUGCUUAACCAGUCUUUACACCUGAAACAUAUGCUUCUUGGCUAGAACAUGAAGGAACAGCUGCUUGACUACGUCGGCUGGAACUAGCUGCCUUACUUCUUGAUGUAGUGAUGCUGCAUUCAUUCCCAGGCCUUUUGGAGGAAUUACGGGUGAUUUGAGCUUCAGCUUUAAGUGCUAACCAAUAUGCAUCACUCGCUUUGUAAGGACACUCAAAGCUGAUUUGAUCUUGAACGGCCAAUCGGAGUCCAUUCACAUAUCUGCUGACCUUUUCUGAUUGAUUUUCAACCAAUGUAUACAUCAGAGAAAGUUGAAUGAAUUCUUGGGUGUGCUCCUUUACAGUUUUGUCUCGCUGUCACAAGUUCUGACCUCAUGUCCCUUUUCCAAAAAAACUCCAGAACAUAACUACAAAUAGAAAUAGGACAAAGAUGGAAAUGAUCCAAUAUAUGUCCUAAAUAAGAGCUGACCAGCAUUGGAAGAUCAAAAUAAUGAAAAACCCUCAGACUGGAUGGACCAUUAGAGCACCCUCAAAACUCUAUUUUGACUCCUAAAAUAGUAUUAGCAACUAAUUAUGUAUUUACAAUUAUUCC